UACAGAGGGUGCAAGCGUUGUUCGGAAUUAUUGGGCGUAAAGCGCGUGUAGGCGGCUUUGCAAGUCGGGUGUGAAAGCCCUCGGCUCAACCGAGGAAGUGCGCCCGAAACUGCAGAGCUUGAGUACCGGAGAGGAUGGCGGAAUUCCCCAAGUAGAGGUGAAAUUCGUAGAUAUGGGGAGGAACACCGGUGGCGAAGGCGGCCAUCUGGACGGAUACUGACGCUGAGACGCGAAAAGCGUGGGGUAGCAAACAGGA
rnacentral:rRNA from 1 species